rnacentral:rRNA from 1 species
GACGAACGCUGGCGGCGUGCUUAACACAUGCAAGUCGAACGGAAAGGCCCUGCUUUUGUGGGGUGCUCGAGUGGCGAACGGGUGAGUAACACGUGAGUAACCUGCCCUUGACUUUGGGAUAACUUCAGGAAACUGGGGCUAAUACCGGAUAGGAGCUCCUGCUGCAUGGUGGGGGUUGGAAAGUUUCGGCGGUUGGGGAUGGACUCGCGGCUUACCAGCUUGUUGGUGGGGUAGUGGCUUACCAAGGCUUUGAGGGGUAGCCGGCCUGGAAGGGGGACGGGCUCCGUUGGGGGGAGGCGACGGCGCAGUGUACGAGGGGGGGGGGGAAGGGGGAAAGUUACGCGAAGGGGGAGGUCUCGCCUGCGAAACGCCGGGUGGGGGGUGUCGCCUUUCGGGUUGAAACCCCUUUUGGCGUUUGGCAAGACGGCGGACGGGUUAGUGAGUAAAAAAACACCGGCUAAUUCCGG